rnacentral:rRNA from 1 species
UACGGAGGGGGCAAGCGUUGUCCGGAAUUAUUGGGCGUAAAGAGCGCGUAGGCGGUCCGGUAAGUCGGUUGUGAAAGUCGGGGGCUCAACCCUCGGAUGCCGAUCGAUACUGUCGGGCUAGAGUCCGGAAGAGGCGAGUGGAAUUCCUGGUGUAGCGGUGGAAUGCGCAGAUAUCAGGAGGAACACCGGUGGCGAAGGCGGCCUGCUGGGCAGUGGCUGACGCUGAGGCGCGACAGCGUGGGGAGCAAACAGG